rnacentral:rRNA from 1 species
AGGACGAACGCUGGCGGCGUGCCUAAUACAUGCAAGUAGAACGCUGAAGAGAGGAGCUUGCUCUUCUUGGAUGAGUUGCGAACGGGUGAGUAACGCGUAGGUAACCUGCCUUGUAGCGGGGGAUAACUAUUGGAAACGAUAGCUAAUACCGCAUAACAAUGGAUGACACAUGUCAUUUAUUUGAAAGGGGCAAUUGUUCCACUACAAGAUGGACCUGCGUUGUAUUAGCUAGUAGGUGAGGUAAUGGCUCACCUAGGCGACGAUACAUAGCCGACCUGAGAGGGUGAUCG